ACGUGGCACGUUAGUGGCAACACGGUCUCUAACUCGCCUUUCUCUCUUUCUCAUUCUUGAUUUCAAAUUUCAAUUUAUUUUCAGAAUCUUCUCUCUCUAUAUUCAAAACCUUCUCUUCUUUCUCUCUCUAUUUGCUGUCUUCGACCUCUUACUCCCCGACGGAGAGCAGCUCUACUCGAACCCCAUUGACGAUCGACUCUGUCUGCAAGCCUCUCUGUCUCCCUCGAUCCUCCUGACGAUCGACUCUCUCGCUUCUCGCUUCUCGUCAGUCCCGCCGGAUUAAGGAGGACUCUCUGUCUUCUCUCGACUCUCUGUCCAACCGCUGAUCAAAUUUGUAUCUUCUGUUGUCGACCGAGUCUCCGUUCCAAAGAGCGACCCAAACCAUCGAAUGAUGUUUAUUCAACGGUGUUUAUUCAUAUACCAUUGUUCGUAGGUUCUGCUGGAGUUGGCUAGGAACAAGAACAAAAUCCCAUUGCCAAAAUCAAUAGCAGGGCCAGGAAUUCCUACCGCCUGAGCAGGACACGUUGAUCAACCCAAACUACCAACUUGCAAUCCCAAGGAAGCCAACUGGGUCGACAGUUGUGGAAGAAACAGUGGAUUUGAACUAUUGCUUGUUAUAGUGAAUUCAAAGAAAGUCUCUGUUUGUUAGUGUUCCAAGUUUUUUAUUGUAUCAAGGAAGCAUUGGUUUAGAAUGGAAUAAAAAGUUGUUACAAUUGACUGGUGCGAAAGGCAAUGAAUGUUGAUAUAAAUAUGAUGUGUUUUUAAGAAGAUAAGAAUUCUGCAGCAUAAGAACUUUGGUGUGAGGUCACCAGUUUGAACCCCAUUAAUCACAUUAUGAUGGUGAAAGUAUAUUAAUGAUUUAUGGUUGUGUUUAGUUCAUAAGAGCAAGGGUAGUGAAAUGAUCAUUCACAAUAGAAUGCUUUUUCAGAUAAUAAUUCAC